rnacentral:rRNA from 1 species
UAGCGGAGGAAAAGAAACCAACAGGGAUUGCCUUAGUAGCGGCGAGUGAAGCGGCAAAAGCUCAAAUUUGAAAUCUGGCGCCUUCGGUGUCCGAGUUGUAAUUUGAAGAUUGUAACCUUGGGGUUGGCUCUUGUCUAUGUUUCUUGGAACAGGACGUCACAGAGGGUGAGAAUCCCGUGCGAUGAGAUGCCCAAUUCUAUGUAAGGUGCUUUCGAAGAGUCGAGUUGUUUGGGAAUGCAGCUCUAAGUGGGUGGUAAAUUCCAUCUAAAGCUAAAUAUUGGCGAGAGACCGAUAGCGAACAAGUACAGUGAUGGAAAGAUGAAAAGAACUUUGAAAAGAGAGUGAAAAAGUACGUGAAAUUGUUGAAAGGGAAGGGUUUGAGAUCAGACUCGAUAUUUUGUGAGCCUUGCCUUCGUGGCGGGGUGACCCGCAGCUUAUCGGGCCAGCAUCGGUUUGGGCGGUAGGAUAAUGGCGUAGGAAUGUGACUUUACUUCGGUGAAGUGUUAUAGCCUGCGUUGAUGCUGCCUGCCUAGACCGAGGACUGCGAU